GGAAGCGCAUGGGGCCUGGUGGCUUCCGCGGACUUCAAAUCCGUUGGGCCGGCCUUAGUCGGGUCGGUCGGAGGGUUCGAUUCCCUUGCGCUUCCGCCA
rnacentral:tRNA from 1 species